CAUAAUAGCACCGGUACUCUUACGAUCACUGAAGUUAAGCAACGUCGGGCCUAGUCAGUACUUAGAUGAGUGACGACUUGGGAAUAGU